UACAGAGGUCCCAAGCGUUGUUCGGAUUCAUUGGGCGUAAAGGGUGCGUAGGCGGCGCGGUAAGUCGGGUGUGAAAUCUCGGGGCUUAACUCCGAAACUGCAUUCGAUACUGCCGUGCUUGAGGACUGGAGAGGAGACUGGAAUUUACGGUGUAGCGGUGGAAUGCGUAGAGAUCCGGAAGAACACCGGUGGCGAAGGCGGUUAGCUGGGCAGUUGCUGACACUGAGGCGCGACAGCGUGGGGAGCAAACAGG
rnacentral:rRNA from 1 species